CUCCCGUCCACUCGCCCCACCUCUGCCUGGGCGUGGAGCGAAGGCACCGUGGCUGCGCGCAUUUCCGAGCAAGGGAAACACUAGCCUCUGCUGGGUCCUGUGACAGAUGAUGGCGUUUUGAACCCCUGUGAGAUAAGUGACCUAGACUCAAAUCGUGAUCUCAGCGGCUUCUGGAUGAGCCCAACCUAAGAAGCAGUUUGUAAUCAGUCGAAGCCUGGGAACGGACUGCCAGCUGUCUCAGCAGCAAAAGGCCCCUGGUUGACGAUGAAUCUACUAACAGGAUACUGAGAAGGGCGCAGUACCUUCUGUGGCAUUUCUGCCCAAAAUGCAUACCCUCCGCCUAACAUGAGGAAACAUCAGAGAAAUCCAAAUUGAGGGGAUAACUGGCUGGUGCCCUUUGAAAGUGUCAAGGUCAUGAAAGACACAGAAAGACUGAAGAAGGGGAAUGGUUUGGAGCAAACACUUUAGUUUGACAACUGAAUGUAAUGCGGGGUGUUGG